GGUUGUAUGUCUAAAGGGAAACAGCCCAGAACAAGUGUUAAUAAGGUUCCAAAAUUAUUAUUAAGUGAAAUAAAGGUAGUUUAUGUCCCAAACGGCCAGGAAAUAGGCUUAGAAGCAGCCACUUUUUAAAGACCUCGUAACAGAGCACUGGUUUUAUCCUAAAAUCUAGGAUAAAUUAGAUCUAAAUCAGAAAAACCUGCUUAGAAUAAGAUCUAAUUUACAUGGAUAUGAGCACCGACGAUACAACGGAUCUAAAUAAUAUACCGAGACCUUGUCCAUAAAUAUAUAUAUACUUAAUAUAUGUUAAAUAUAUUAAUAAGUUAUAUUUCGUUUUAUGGGGUAGCGGAACAUUGGGUAAACCACAUCCUUUUAUUUUAUAAAUAAAAUAAGGUACCCCAAGUGAUAAUGCUGACAUGAGUAACGAUAAAGGGAAGGACUAGCAAAAAACUAAAAAAGAUGAGCAGUCCCAAAUCCCUCGCCUAAAGCUUAUGGUAUUUAGUUAAAGUAACGGCCUCUAAGUUUAUAAAUAAACCCAAGCAUAUUUAUAUAAUGAAGAUAUUCAUUAUG
rnacentral:rRNA from 1 species